AACGAACGCUGGCGGCAUGCCUAAAACAUGCAAGUCGAACGGGUGUAGCAAUACACCAGUGGCAGACGGGUGCGUAACACGUGGGAACCUGCCCAGAGGUUCGGAAUAGCUGCGGGAAACUGCAGGUAAUACCGAAUGUUGCCUGAGGGCUAAAGGAGCAAUCCGCCUUCGGAGGGGCCCGCGUCCGAUUAGCUAGUUGGCGAGGUAACGGCUCACCAAGGCGACGAUCGGUAGCUGGUCUGAGAGGAUGACCAGCCACACUGGAACUGAGAUACAGUCCAGACUCCUACGGGAGGCAGCAGUUGGGAAUAUUGGACAAUGGGGGAAACCCUGAUCCAGCAAUGCCGCGUGCAGGAUGAAGGCGUUAUGCGUUGUAAACUGCUUUUAUACAGGAAGAAACGACUCUUGCGAGAGGCAUUGACGGUACUGUAUGAAUAAGCACCGGCUAACUCCGUGCCAGCCGCCGCUGUAACAC
rnacentral:rRNA from 1 species